rnacentral:rRNA from 1 species
CCUGGCUCAGAACGAACGCUGGCGGCAGGCUUAACACAUGCAAGUCGAACGCCCCGCAAGGGGAGUGGCAGACGGGUGAGUAACGCGUGGGAAUCUACCCAGUUCUACGGAACAACUGAGGGAAACUUCAGCUAAUACCGUAUACGCCCUACGGGGAAAGAUUAUCGGAAUUGGAUGAGCCCGCGUUGGAUUAGCUAGUUGGUGAGGUAACGGCUCACCAAGGCGACGAUCCAUAGCUGGUCUGAGAGGAUGAUCAGCCACACUGGGACUGAGACACGGCCCAGACUCCUACGGGAGGCAGCAGUGGGGAAUAUUGGACAAUGGGCGCAAGCCUGAUCCAGCCAUGCCGCGUGAGUGAUGAAGGCCUUAGGGUUGUAAAGCUCUUUCAGUGGGGACGAUAAUGACGGUACCCACAGAAGAAGCCCCGGCUAACUUCGUGCCAGCAGCCGCGGUAAUACGAA